rnacentral:rRNA from 1 species
CCUACGGGAGGCAGCAGUGGGGAAUCUUGCGCAAUGGGCGAAAGCCUGACGCAGCCAUGCCGCGUGAAUGAUGAAGGUCUUAGGAUUGUAAAAUUCUUUCACCGGGGACGAUAAUGACGGUACCCGGAGAAGAAGCCCCGGCUAACUUCGUGCCAGCAGCCGCGGUAAUACGAAGGGGGCUAGCGUUGCUCGGAAUUACUGGGCGUAAAGGGCGCGUAGGCGGACAUUUAAGUCAGGGGUGAAAUCCCAGAGCUCAACUCUGGAACUGUCUUUGAUACUGGGUGUGUUGAGUGUGAGAGAGGUAUGUGGAACUACGAGAGUAGAGGUGAAAAGCGUAGAUAAGGGGAAGAAAAAGAGUGGAGAAGGCGAAAUACGGGCUCAUUACUGACGCUGAGGCGCGAAAGCGUGGGGAGCAAACAGGAUUAGAUACCCUUGUAGUC